AGUAAAGUCAGUAAUUAA
rnacentral:tRNA from 1 species